rnacentral:rRNA from 1 species
AUUGAACGCUGGCGGCAUGCCUUACACAUGCAAGUCGAACGGUAACAGGUCUUCGGAUGCUGACGAGUGGCGAACGGGUGAGUAAUACAUCGGAACGUGCCCGAUCGUGGGGGAUAACGAGGCGAAAGCUUUGCUAAUACCGCAUACGAUCUACGGAUGAAAGCGGGGGAUCUUCGGACCUCGCGCGGACGGAGCGGACGAUGGCAGAUUAGGUAGUUGGUGGGAUAUAAGCUUACCAAGCCGACGAUCUGUAGCUGAGCUGAGAGGAUGAUCAGCCACACUGGGACUGAGACACGGCCCAGACUCCUACGGGAGGCAGCAGUGGGGAAUUUUGGACAAUGGGCGAAAGCCUGAUCCAGCCAUGCCGCGUGCAGGAUGAAGGCCUUCGGGUUGUAAACUGCUUUUGUACGGAACGAAAAGCCUCUUUCUAAUAAAGAGGGGUCAUGACGGUACCGGAAGAAUAAGCACCGGCUAACUACGUG